rnacentral:rRNA from 1 species
UCCGGAGGGUGCUAGCGUUGUUCGGAAUUACUGGGCGUAAAGGGCGCGUAGGCGGCCGUUUGCGUCGGAUGUGAAAGCCCGGGGCUCAACCUCGGAACGGCAUUCGAUACGGGACGGCUGGAGACCGGGAGAGGAGAGUGGAAUAGCCAGUGUAGAGGUGAAAUUCGUAGAUAUUGGCUGGAACACCGGUGGCGAAAGCGGCUCUCUGGCCCGGUUCUGACGCUGAGGCGCGAAAGCGUGGGGAGCAAACAGG